rnacentral:tRNA from 1 species
GGGGCUGUGGCUCAGUUGGUAAGGCAUUUGUUUGUCAUGCAGAAGAUCCCAAGUUCAAUCCCUGGCAUUUCCA